UUUUUAUUAGGCUCCUAAACCCCUUUCAUUAACCACCAAUUUUAUUAAAAAAAUAUACAUAGAAAACCACAAAACUCCCAUAAAAAUCAGAAAAAAAAAAAACUUUGUUUGCUGAAGAUUUUAAACUAUUCUGAAUUUUGUACGAUACCUAAUUCUAAACCAUUCGAACGAAAUUGCAUUUCAAUCGAACGAUCAUUAAUUGAAGAUUCGACGCAAUCAAGAUCAGUUCUUCGACAAUAUAUCAAUGUUAGAUCUAUUUUUCUCAAAAAAAAAAUCAAGGUUUGAGCGUACAAUAUGUGUAGUCGAUUUGAAGUUGUGCCGAUAUUGAAGAAGUUGGUGAUGUGCAGUCAGUACGUGUUCUGGUUGGAGAAAGCAGUAGUUGGGCGUUGUAGUUGCUUUAAGAAGUAGCGUUUUUUUUUUUUUGAGGAAAGUGGUGUACUCUAAUCGACCAAUUGUAUUUUUUUUAUCAAUUUUUGGGAUGGAAAGUGUAAAUUUACAUGUUAUUAAUGAAAAUAUCUUAGUUUUGUGUA